GACGAACGCUGGCGGCGUGCUUAACACAUGCAAGUCGAACGGAAAGGCCCUGAUCUUGUGGGGUUCUCGUGUGGCGCACGGGUGAGUAACACGUGUGUAACCUGCCCUUGUCUUUGGGGUAACUUCAGGAAACUGGGGCUCAUACAGGAUAUGAGCUCCUGAUGCAUGGUGGGGGUUGGUAAGUUUCGGCGGUUGGGGCUGGUUUCGCGGCUUAUCAGCUUCAUGGUGGGGUAGUGGAUGACCAAGCGUGUGACGGGUAGCCGGCCUGAGAGGGUGAACGGGGACAAUGGGCCUGCGAGAGGGCCCAGACGCCUACGUGAGGCAGCAGUGGGGAAUAUGGCGGAACGGGCGGAAGCCUGAGGCAGCAGCGCCGGGUGCGGGAUGACGGCUUUCGGGUGGUAAACCGCUGUCGCAGGUAACGAAGCGUGAGUGACGGUAAUGGAUAAGGAAGCACCGGCUAACUACGUG
rnacentral:rRNA from 1 species